rfam:Theileria annulata genomic DNA chromosome 4
ACCCAGGCUUCACUUGAAGCCAUAAUAAUCACAUAAUCUUAUUAU